rnacentral:lncRNA from 1 species
AGGCCCCCCUUAUCCCCGCCCCCUCGGUUCCCAUUGGCCGCAGCCCCCCCGUUAUCCCCGCCCCCCGGCUGCCAUUGGCCGCACUUGUCGCAGAAGGCGGAGAUGGUUUCCCAGUAGUGCUCGUGCACCGCGAACCACUCGCAGUCGCCGGGCCCGAUGUUGAUGUUCACCGAGCAGAAGUUGUUGUUCUCCUGGUGGCCUGGGGGGGGGGAACCACAACGUGUCACCUCCACCGCGUGUCACCUCCCCCAGUGUCACCUCCACAAUGUGUCACCUCCCCCAAUGUCACCUCCAUGUGGUGUCACCUCCCCCAAUGUCACCUCCAUGUGCUGUCACCUCCAAAAUGUGUCACCUCCCCCCCAUGUCACUUCCAUGUGGUGUCACCUCCCCAACAUGUCACCUUCAUAGUGUGUCACCUCCCCCCCACGUCACCUCUGUGUGCUGUCACCUCCAAAAUGUGUCACCUCCAUGUGGUGUCACCUCCACACUGUGUCACCUCCACAAUGUGUCACCUCCACGUGUCACCUCCAUGUGCUGUCACCUCCAAAAUGUGUCACCUCCCCAACGUAUCACCUCCAUGUGGUGUCACCUCCCCAACGUGUCUCCUCCCCCAAUGUCACCUCCAUAAGGUGUCACCUCUCCAACGUGUCACCUUCAUGUGGUGUCACCUCCGCAACGUGUCACCUCCCCCCCAUGUCACCUCCAAACGGUGUCACCUCCCCAAUGUGUCACCUCCAAAGUGUGUCACCUCCCAUGUCACCUCCAUGUGGUGUCACCCCCAAAAUGUCACCUCCCCAACGCGUCACCUCCACAACAUGUCACCUCUCCCCCAUGCCACCUCCAUGUGCUGUCACCUCCAAAAUGUGUCACCUCCCCUAAUGUCACCUCCCCCUGGUGUCACCUACCCAACGUGUCACCUCCCCAACGUGUCACCUCCACUGCAUGUCACCUCCACAGCGUCACCUCCCCCGUCACCUCCAUGUGCUGUCACCUCCAAAAUGUGUCACCUCCACACUGUGUCACCUCCCCAAUGCAUCACCUCCCCCUGGUGUCACCUCCAAAAUGUGUCACCUCCAUGUGCUGUCACCUCCAAAAUGUCACCUCCACAACGUGUCACCUCCAAAAUGUGUCACCUCCCCCCCAUGUCACCCCCAAAAUGUGUCACC